rnacentral:tmRNA from 1 species
UCCCUUUGAUCCGUGCGGAGCUGCGCCUAUAUUCAGGCCGUCGGGAAACCGACUAUGGCGAUAAAUAGCGUGCGCAAUAGCCGAUGCGGACCCGGGGGCAGUGCCCGGCGCCUCCACCAUCUUCUGCGGGGGCGAACCAGGAUCGACGCGCGAGUAAAGGCACGAAGUUUGCCCGGCAUGGUACCGCCGUCAUCGGGCCAAAACUGAGACGCCAACGACAACGUGGCUCUCGACAACCGCGUCGCGGCCUGAGCCUAACGGCUUAGCCCAAGACGCCUAGUCGCGGUUCGGGGGGCACCGGGCAACAGAAGCCCCCCACU